GAUGAACGCUAGCUACAGGCUUAACACAUGCAAGUCGAGGGGUAGCAGGGUAGCAAUACCGCUGACGACCGGCGCACGGGUGAGUAACACGUAUCCAACCUUCCCAUAACUCAGGGAUAGCCUUUCGAAAGAAAGAUUAAUACCUGAUAGUACUUAAGAAAGGCAUCUUUUUUAAGUUAAAGAUUUAUUGGUUAUGGAUGGGGAUGCGUUCCAUUAGAUAGUUGGUGAGGUAACGGCUCACCAAGUCUUCGAUGGAUAGGGGUUCUGAGGGGAAGGUCCCCCACAUUGGUACUGGGACACGGACCAAACUCCUACGGGAGGCAGCAGUGAGGAAUAUUGGUCAAUGGGCGAGAGCCUGAACCAGCCAAGUAGCGUGAAGGAUGAAGGUCCUAUGGAUUGUAAACUUCUUUUAUAGUAGAAUAAAGUGAGCCACGUGUGGUUUUUUGUAUGUAUACUAUGAAUAAGGAUCGGUUAACUCCGUGCCAGCCGCCGCCGUAA
rnacentral:rRNA from 1 species